AUGCAGGCAGGGCCUGGGCUCCCGGCAGCCCCGGCCCCGAGAGAUGGAGGCAGCAGGAGGCGCUGGGAGGUUCUGGCUCGCAGGGAGCCGCCGCGGCCUCCGACAGCUCCGCCAGGCACAAAAACCCGAUUCAGCGUCCAGCAGCGCCGGGCUGCCAGCGAGCAGGGUGUGCCUCGUCGGCAGGCGGAGGAUCGCCCUCCGAACGCCCGCUGCUCCCACCGCCGAUUUUGCCGCACCUUCGAGCACUGGCUUUUAAUUAAACAUAUCCCAGCGCCCGCUCGCUCGUUCCCUCUCUCAGCCCCUGGAUGUGCGUUGGGUCGGGGAAGUGGCAAUGCUGCAUUUGGGGCGGAAAAAUGUCCUCCAUGUGGCAGGAUGGUGCUGCUGCUCGGAACGGCUGCGGCUCUGCCGGGGCCGGGCAAGUACCGGGGGCAGAGGAGGCGGCCGGGGCAGGGGCAGCACGCCGGGCUUCCCGCAGCACCCCCGGGCCACCCCCUCCGCCUCCGCCAAGGCUUUCGGCCACAGCUCCGUGCCCUUCACGCUGCCCCCCAGUUCUCCUUUUGCUGCUGCCGGGCUUUUCGCUGCGAUGGGGCUUUUCUGGUGAAAUGUCAGGCCCGGGGUCGGUUCCCGUCGCUGGUGCCCUCCCAGCUGCUUCGUCACCCACACGGAGGUGGGAGGGGAGGGAAGGGGACAGCUCUGAUGUCCCUGGGGGGGGUGCAGCAGCAUCUCCCCUGUGCUGGGCAUCUCUCCGUGCCCCCAGCGAUGACACGUCCCCGGGCAGAGUUACAAAACGUGGCUGUUUCCCAGCAAAGCCAGGAAUUGCGUGAGCAGCCCUGCCGUGGGGACCGGUGUCCCGAGGCACCAUCUGCUCCCGCUCGCUCUGAUCCCAGCUCCCCCCGGCACUGGCGGCUCCGGGCCGGGGAUGCUCCAGGAGGGCCGGGACAUUUCCCGGCUGCCGUUCCCUGCCCGGCAAGGCGCUGCAGCGGCUCUGCUGCUUCACUUGGAAGCCGACACAAGCUGGGCUCCGUGCCCCUUUUAAAGAAAGCCCUGACCUAG
rnacentral:lncRNA from 1 species